GAGAUCGUUGUUGAUCGGUACGUGCUCGUCGUUGUUCUCGAUAUAAUAUUGUUUUUCGGACUGUGGCAGCGUCGUUAAAAGUGAUCUACAUGGACUGACAUCGAAUCAACUUGCAAUGGCCGAUGUGAGAAUCUGCGAAAAAUGCUCUCAGACCAUCGAUGUUAAAUCUGAGUCCUUCAGUGUCUGCGAGGGAGACUGUGCGUGUUUAUUCCAUGCCAGUUGCGUCGGCUUAACAGAAGAUGAUUUGUGCUCAAUCGCUUCAAGAUUGAACCUUAUUUGGAUGUGUGACAAAUGUAUGCACAAAUUUCGUAGCAUGAGUGACGGUACACAAGCUGAUUCGCCUACCGAUUCUCCCAAAACUAAAUCUCUCGAUGAUGAAGUUAGGGAGCUCAAAAACUCUGUUGCUGGUAUACUGGAAACUCUCUCCAAAAUCACACCGACCGCUGUUACGGACAACCGUGCCCCGCUACAUUCAACACCCAUUUCGAUGAAUAUGCCUUUUGAGGAGAUGCAGACGAGUGAGGGAAAUGUGAACAACGCGGAAAGCUAUCAACAGUCCCUGUAUACGAACGAUGGAGACAACUUCUCAUUGUUUUUGUCCAACGUUGAUUCAAGUGUCUCAGAGCGAGAGGUUCACAAUAUGGUUUCUCGAACGUUAAAUGCCCCCGGUCCCGAACGCAUUGAUGUACUAAAACUAGUUUCAUAUUGGAGUUACCGUCGACCGCCAGAUUUUAUUUCAUUCAAGGUAACUCUUGAUAAGAAAUGGAAAGCAAUGACCAUGAACCCAAUGAUCUGGCCGAAACAAGUUAGAAUUAGAGAAUUCAUUGAACGACACAACGUCACGUGGAGGCCGUAAAUAGUUGAUAUUUCAAUAUAUUUUGAUCUGUUGUUGGGUUUCUAGAUGUUCGAUUUUAAUUUAGUUAUAUUGUAUGUUCGAAGUUGUGGUGUUAUCAUUGUUCGAAGUUUAGGUUGAAUGCUUUGAUAGCAUAUCGUGUUUCGUGGGUUCCGAUGUUGUAUUGAUAUUGUAUGUAAUGAAAUGUGAUUGAUGUUGUAUAUAAUGAAAUAUGAUCUGAUGAUAUAUUGUUGAUUUUGUUAUGUAUGUAUUAGGAUUAGAUAUUCAUUAAGACUGUAAAGUCAGAUGAAUGAAACAAUAAUAAAUAAAUAAAUAAAUAAAUAAUGCGCCUCCAACGGUUCAUUGUGAACCGGCUGCUACAGAUGGAGUAUGGUUGAUUUAUCAGAAAUGCUCGAUAAACAGGAGGGACCUGCUGGGGCCUAGUAGUUUCUAUACCCAGAUAACAGUUCCGGUCGAUUGAGUCUGGGAAGGUUUCGAGAGUCGUGAAUCAUAAUGAAAAUUUGUGUUUUGUGACGAGUCUCGGAAUCUUUUUUUUGAGUCAGCAGACUUUGAACUGUUUCCUGGGCUUCCCACUAUUCGGUUAAUUUUAACAAAUACACUAUACAAAUACAAAUUAAAUUCAAAUAUGAAAUAAUUAGCAGUAUCUUGCGUAUUCAAUUUGCUAAUACAUAGUUCUCAACAUUUGAUGUGCUUUCGUGAUUCAAUUUUCUCUAUGUAUGUGAAUUUUCAAUAUCAAUUUAAAAUAACUAAGAAACUAAUAGUGGGAAGUGCAGCAUUUAACAGUGCUUGCUUAUAGAUUCGAAGCUAACGUGUGAUCAAGACGAAAUCGACAAAAACUGACUAUGUACUUCGACUUUGACUAACGUAGACUAUUUAUGACAAAUUAGAUAUUUUUACAUUUUUCGACUGAGUGUAUGAAAGGUUUACUUUAAUAUGAGCUUAUUUGGACCGAUGCUGAUAGUGCUAGGGAUGCGGACGAAAGACAACUUUCAAAGGUAAUAAAAACAAUACUUAAAUGAGGAUGAACGAAAAUGGACAUAACAAACACAUCGACUAUCUAACAGAUCAUAGGCACACCAAAGAUUACUGAAUUGUAGGGCACAGCAUAAAUAUGAACAAUAACAUUCUUUAAACCUUGACAUGACAAAACAACAAAUACAAAAUCGACCAUAUGACAAAACCGAAACUUUCACACCUUCUACCGUAACCUUCUGAGUCAGUACGCAACAGUGUCUUACUGGACGACAUGUGCCGUGCACGGCUGGUGAACUGCUUCUGAAGGAUUACGUUCUCUAUCCUAUCCAAAGGCCUAGUGAACUGUCGUUGUCCGCGCAAACGCGAGACGCUUGUGCGCACAGUGAUGGGAGAGGUUUCUACGUCCGUCGGCGUGCCGCUAGGAACCUUUCCAAAAAAAAAAAGAA